rnacentral:rRNA from 1 species
AGAGGCUACUGCCAUCAGAGUUCGAUUAAGCCAUGUUAGUCGAGGGUGCUUCUUCUUCGGAAGAAGUAACCCGGCGGACGGCUCAGUAACACGUGGAUAACUUGCCCUUGGGUCUGGGAUAACCCCUGGGAAACUGGGGCUAAUACCGGAUAGAGCAUCAAUCGCUGGAAUGCCUGAUACUCGAAAACUACGGUGCCCAAGGAUAGGUCUGCGGCUGAUUAGGUUGUUGUUGAUGUAAUGGACCAACAAGCCUACGAUCGGUACGGGUUGUGAGAGCAAUAGCCCGGAGAUGGGUUCUGAGAAAAGAACCCAGGUCCUACGGGACGCAUCAGGCGCGAAAACUUUACAAUGUGCGAAAGCACGAUAAGGGAACUCUGAGUGCCCCCUAAGGGGGCUGUUCUAGUGUCUAAAAAGCAAUAGAAGUAAGGGCUGGGCAAGACCGGUGCCAGCCGCCGCGGUAACACCGGCAGCCCAAGUGGUAGCCACGUUUAUUGGGUCUAAAGCGUUCGUAGCCGGCUUGGUAAGUUCCUUGGUAAAUUUAGCCGCUUAACGGUUAAGCUUUCAGGGAAUACUGCUUGGCUUGGGACUGGGAGAGGUCAGAGGUACUCCAGGGGUAGGGGUGAAAUCCAUUAAUCCUUGGGGGACCACCGGUAGCGAAGGCGUCUGACCAGACCAGCUCCGACGGUGAGGGACGAAGGCUAGGGGCGCGAACCGGAUUAGAUACCCGGGUAGUCCUAGCUGUAAACGAUGCGGGCUAGGUGUUGGCAUUACUGCGAGUGGUGCCAGUGCCGAAGGGAAGCCGUUAAGCUCGCCAUCUGGGGAGUACGGUCGCAAGGCUUAAACUUAAAGGAAUUGGCGGGGGAGCACCACAACGGGUGGAGCCUGCGGUUC